rnacentral:rRNA from 1 species
GACGAACGCUGGCGGCGUGCCUAAUACAUGCAAGUCGAGCGGACCGAACAGGAGCUUGCUCUUGUUCGGUUAGCGGCGGACGGGUGAGUAACACGUGGGUAACCUGCCCGCAAGACCGGGAUAACUCCGGGAAACCGGAGCUAAUACCGGAUAACACCGAAGACCGCAUGGUCUUUGGUUGAAAGGCGGCUUCGGCUGCCACUUACGGAUGGGCCCGCGGCGCAUUAGCUAGUUGGUGAGGUAACGGCUCACCAAGGCGACGAUGCGUAGCCGGCCUGAGAGGGUGACCGGCCACACUGGGACUGAGACACGGCCCAGACUCCUACGGGAGGCAGCAGUAGGGAAUCUUCCGCAAUGGACGAAAGUCUGACGGAGCGACGCCGCGUGAGCGAAGAAGGUCUUCGGAUCGUAAAGCUCUGUUGUUAGGGAAGAAGAAGCGUCGUUCGAACAGGGCGGCGCGGUGACGGUACCUAACGAGAAAGCCCCGGCUAACUACGUG